UUCAUUGUCAACCUGAGUCUCUCUUUCUCUGUCUGUCUCCCCUCUCUCUCUGUCUCUCACUCUCUGUCUCUCACUCUCUGUCUCUCACUCUGUGUCUCUCGGCUCUGUCUCUCUCUCUGUCUGUCUCCCCUCUCUCUCUGUCUCUCACUCUGUGUCUCUCCGCUCUGUCUCUUUCUCUGUCUGUCUCCCCUCUCUCUCUGUCUCUCACUCUGUCUCUCACUGUCUCUCCGCUCUGUCUCCCCUCUCUCUCUGUCUCUCACUGUCUCGCCGCUCUGUCUCUUCUCUCUCUCUGUCUCUCACUCUGUGUCUCUCACUGUCUCUCCGCUCUGUCUCUCUCUCUGUCUGUCUCCCCUCUCUCUCUGUCUCUCACUCUGUGUCUCUCACUGUCUCUCCGCUCUGUCUCUUUCUCUGUCUGUCUCCCCUCUCUCUCUGUCUCUCACUCUCUGUCUCUCACUCUGUGUCUCUCACUCUGUGUCUCUCGGCUCUGUCUCUCUCUCUGUCUGUCUCCCCUCUCUCUCUGUCUCUCACUCUGUGUCUCUCCGCUCUGUCUCUUUCUCUGUCUGUCUCCCCUCUCUCUCUGUCUCUCACUCUGUCUCUCACUGUCUCUCCGCUCUGUCUCCCCUCUCUCUCUGUCUCUCACUGUCUCGCCGCUCUGUCUCUUCUCUCUCUCUGUCUCUCACUCUGUGUCUCUCACUGUCUCUCCGCUCUGUCUCUCUCUCUGUCUGUCUCCCCUCUCUCUCUGUCUCUCACUCUGUGUCUCUCACUGUCUCUCCGCUCUGUCUCUUUCUCUGUCUGUCUCCCCUCUCUCUCUGUCUCUCCCCUCUCUCACUGUCUCUUCUCUCUCUCUGUCUCUCAGCUCUGUCUCUCUCUCUGUCUGUCUCCCCUCUCUCUCUGUCUCUCACUCUGUGUCUCUCACUGUCUCUCCGCUCUGUCUGUCUCCCCUCUCUCUCUGUCUCUCACUGUCUCUCCGCUCUGUCUCUUUCUCUGUCUGUCUCUCACUCUGUGUCUCUCACUGUCUCUCUGUCUGUCUCCCCUCUCUCACUGUCUCUCCGCUCUGUCUCCUCUCUGUCUCUCUGUCUCUCACUCUGUGUCUCUCCGCUCUGUCUCUCUCCCCUUUCUCUCUGUCUCUCUCACUGUCUCUCCGCUCUGUCUCUUUCUCUGUCUGUCUCCUCUCACUCUGUGUCUCUCACUGUCUCUGUCUUUCUCUCCUCUCUGUCUCUCUCUCUGUCUCUUUGUCUUUCUCCCCUCUCUCCCUCUCAAUACUUUCACCACUUUCUCUCCAUUCACGUCCAAAGUUCCACUCCAUCCAACACAGAUUCACAGACAAUGGCUUUACAAUUCUGUCAAUAUCUAUUAUUACAUGACAUGGAGAAGCUACCGACUACCUUGAGACAGUCCUAG
rnacentral:lncRNA from 1 species